rnacentral:lncRNA from 1 species
ACAUGACUAUAUCUUGUCUGAGAACAAAAUAUUCCCUAUAUCAAGCAUAAUCUAAUUGUGCCCUAGAAAUUAAAUGAAUGAUGUGAACUUAGGCAUUUUUAAAACCAAACCUAUCACAACUUUGGCAAUAUCAAAAAAGAACUUUUCUUUCUCCUUUCGAUUGUGAUACAGUGAUUUAAUUUGUUUAAUAUCAUAACAACGGAGGAAAGGAUGGAAGUUCUUUCGCGAGGGCCAUGACAAGAGUUAUUUUAUUAUGUU